rnacentral:lncRNA from 1 species
AGUUCCCUGGCCCUGGUGAGAAUCCUGGAAAAAGUAUCAGAAAAAGUGGCUUGCAGUGACAGGGACAACAGGAGGGCCGAAGAAAGGUACAGUGUGAAGGGCUGGAGGACCAGUGUUGGUGGGGAAGCGACCAGAACCCCAGAAAGGAACCCAGGCUAGGGACCUAGAGCAGGGCCCAGGCCAGGGGAGAACAGGGAAGGGCUGGGCCAGGUAGGAGGGCAGCACUAAGGUUCUGCAGUGCAGGGAAGCCAAGGGGAGCAGGGAAGUGCCCCAAGCAAGGGGCCCACAGUCCAAGCCCAGGGACACACAGAGCAAGAAGGGCCACCAGACGGUCAAGCGAGCAGCCAGGCCAGGGAAUGGAGAGCUAAGAACCGAGGCUGGGGCAGGGGGCUCAGUUCAGU